rfam:Chitinivibrio alkaliphilus ACht1 contig00006, whole genome shotgun sequence.
CGCGGGAUGGAGCAGCCAGGUAGCUCGUCGGGCUCAUAACCCGAAGGUCGGAGGUUCGAUUCCUCCUCCCGCUA